CAGGACGUACAGGAGCCAAGGAGACUGCAGGAGACACCAGAGGCUUCUCGGCACCGCUGCCUGUCCUGUGAAGCAACAUGAGUCUCAAGGGAUCCCACGGCAGCAGCUCUGGCUCAGCAAAUGGCAGCAUGGGCAGAGCAGACGGAGCCUCCAAGCUGAGCGCAAAGGACCUGUACGGUAAGUCAUGCCCAUGGACAUGUAGGGUUUGCUAUAGCAAGGGCACCUCUGGAGAUCUGG
rnacentral:lncRNA from 1 species